GUUUCUUUGGCCCCAGAGUGUGUGUUUGAAAGAGAAGAGAAGGGUGGGGGGAGAGAGAGAGAGAGAGAGAGUGAGUUGUACCGGAGAUCUUGUUUUCGUCGCCGGCGCCUUCGCCGUUUUAGCGUUUCUUCCUUUCCCUUUUACAACGCCCACCGUAGCAGGCUUUUUUUUCUUUCUCUUGCACUUUGUAUUUAUUUUUCUUUAUUGUUUAUGACUUCAGAGGCAUCGAUCGAUCGUUAUUCUGGUUACGCUCAUCAAACGACACCAAGGGGACUCUUCUGGACAAACACACACACACACACACACACAUUCGCACACACGGCAGAUGUCUAGGGUAGAAGAUCACCCCUUUGUCCCUCCCCUCCCCUCCCUUCCCCUCGGCACCGCGUCGCAUCUAGGACAUAUCCAGCAGCGAUUCACACUGUGCUGUUUAGCAACCUCGGAGGCUAGUAGUGGCCAUUUCCUUUGUCUAGCAAUAGGGUUUAAAUUCCACUGAUAUUCCCCGUUCCCUAAAAAACGACAACAAGGCAGAGCGCCCCGAAAUCGCAAGGACUUUUCAGCGGCUCGCUUGCUUUCUUCGGCGCUCUUUUCUUUGCCCCUAUACAAAAGGGAGAUCAGUUAAGGGACAAAAAGCCCUAUUAAGGGGAUGGGUCUGGGUUGAUUGGCUUGCAUUGCGCUUCUGUGGUCCACAGCCAGACGUUUACACAAGGAGUUGUCUCGAAACUGCAACAUCUCUCUCCCCCCCCCCCGAACAGAGAUCUCUGUGAGGCCGAGUUUUCCCCCGCCCCCAACAGACUCCGCUCGGUUCUCUUCCUAAGCUUUUAAAACCCCACAGAAGGGGAGGGAGAGAAAACAAGCUCCCCCUCCGAAUGUUAGAAAAUGAGCUCACCCAAACCUCAGCAGGCAGCAGUGGAGGAGCCGUAGUCCAAUCAGGAUCUUUUCUGCGAAAGCCAGGCGAGCAUUAGUUGAGGGAGAAAUCAAUUAUCAAAUAAUCGAUCAGCAGGGAGCUUCGAUCUGCGGGGAAAGUCCUCGCGCGACCAAUCUUCCCAGCCUCGGCCAAGAGCGCCGGAGCUGGAGAAGGCAGCGGAAUUGUUCAUUUGUGGUCGUGCGUUAGAACUUACUCAGCGAGAUAAAUAAUACUAAUAAUUAAUAGUUAAUGAUGAGGAUGCUGAUGUCACCCUGUCUUCGGCCAAGGAAAACAGAAGGGGAAGAAUUGUAUAAAAGUUUCUCUCUUAUUUAACUCUUGAACAGGCUUAAACGCGUGAAGUCUGGCUUCAUCUCUUCACGAAGAGAGAACAAUCACCUAUAUUCUCAUUUUUCACUUCUGGCCUUUCUCUUACUUUUUAUAAAGAGAUUUCCUAUGGUACCAAAUAGUUCCAAUAAAGCAGUCUCGGGGACUGUGGGGUAUCUCGCUCAGGUCUGCCCGAGGCCUUCUUGAGCGAAGAGUAUUAAAACCAGCAAUCUGGCAAGGAGUCUCCAACGUCAAAGAGGCUGCUAGCCAGUGCAGAUAAUCAUAAAGCAAUCUGGCCUGAGUUUUGUUUUGCUAUUAUUGUUCCAAUACUUUAUUCGAACUAGAAUUAAUAAAAUCUGUAUCCUGGGAUCUAUAGUAAAGUUAUGGGGCACUUUUUCGUAUGCUUCGUCAAUAGAUUCAAAUAGAAAUAAAUCCCGGACAGUUUGGGCCAAACCUAUUUUAGACUGAAAGUGUAACCUCUACAGGAAGAAUUCGCCGUGGCGGCUACAGCAACAGCACUCUCUAACUUUAAGCUUAUCUCUUCUGCUUACUGCGAUUUAUGAUUUUUUUUUUGGCCAUAAAAUGUGUGUUUUAAAGGCUGAGGGAGGAGAUCAUGAUCCCCACCCCCCAAGUGAAAAGAUGUGAUGUGUAACGGAAACAAAUUAUUGCCUUUGUAUUAGCUGAUGAUGAAGAUACCUAAUAAAUCUGUUUUCUUUGCUCAUAAUAAGGUUUGGUAUUUGGAGAGAUUGCUUACUACUUUCUCUAGAAUAUAAAGUGCUCUUGGUAAGGCAACCUGAGGGCAAACGACAGCCAAGUUAGGCUUUUCGGGGAAAGAAAACCAGGACCUGGCAUUGACAAGAUCACUCCAAGAGGUGGAGGGCAUACCGCAAAAUCCAGCAGUCACUGAUCUAUUCUUGGGGUCAGACCGAUGUAGACCUGAGCCUGAAAGUGACUCUGGAGGAAUUCCUGGGUUCGGGUUGUCUUGGGUGUGUGUGUGUGUGUGUGUGUGUGUGUGUGAAGGAUUCCCCUAUAGCCGUGACAGAAGAGAAAGCUGCUGCUGCUGCUGCUGCUUUUACUAGCAAAUAUUAUUGUCCUUCCUUUACGUCCGUGGCAAGGAGUUUUAAACUUCCUUCCGAAAAAAACCGGCCCAGAGCAUAUCCCUCCGGCUCAUGUCCCGGGAAAAUACAAAUAGUUUUCCGAACUGCCUGCGGCGAAUGAAAUUUUCAUCAUCAUCAUCAUCAUCAUCAUCAUCAUCAUCAUCAUCAUCAUCGCCGCUAAGGCUCCCCAGUUUCAAUGUAUGGCUGUGAAAGUUGGACCAUAAGAAAGGCUGAGUGCCAAAGAAUUGAAGCCUUUGAACUAUGGUGCUGGAGAAGACUCCUGCGAGUCCCUUGGACUGCAAGGCGAUCAAACCGGUCAGUCCUAGAGGAGAUCAACCCUGACUGCUCUUUAGAAAGCCAGAUCCUGAAGAUGAAAUUCAAAUACUUUGGCCACCUCGGGAGAAGGAAGGACUCACUGGAGAAGAGCCUAAUGAUGGGAAAGAUUGCGGGCAAAAGAAGAAGGGGGCGGCAAAGAAUGAGGUGGCUGGAUGGAGUCACUGAAGCAGUAGGCGUGAGCGUCAAUGGACUCCAGAGGAUGGUAGAGGACAGGAAGGCCUGGAGGAAUGUUGUCCAUGGGGUCGUGAUGGAUUGGCCACGACUUUGCAACUAACAACAACAACAAAUCUUUCUAUAUUCACUUUAGUAAAUGCAAAUACUAAACUUGAAAUCUGUCAUUAGAUGACCUGUGCUUCUUAUUUUUCAGUUAUACUUAACUAAGGAACAUGGACUACAGUUAUUACUCCAGUGACAAGAAUAUUUCGCAUUCACAGAUACAUAUUUCUGUUUUAUCUCCUUCAAAAUGCAGCAAGACCUGAUAUGAACUGAUAGUUUGUUGCCCUAAUAAAUCCCAUGUUGUGGGUCAGUGUAUAGUUA